UGUGUGUGUGUGUGUGUGUGUGUGUGUGUGUGUGUGUGUGUGUGUGUGUGUGUGUGUGUGUGUGUGCUGUGCUCUGUGCAGGUGCGAGUGAUGGCCCUCAGCCUGAGGAGGCGGGCUGGGAGCUCGGAAGGAGUGAGAGAAAAACAGCUACUCUGUCUUCCCUAAAACAUCUUCAAGGUCUCUGGCGAGGGAUAAAUUCCCAAGGGGAGACAGUUCACCAGUAAGAGAUCUGCUUGCGCUCGACCGGUCUGUCUCCGGUGUGUUUAGACGGCAGGACGCUCAUUUCCUUGCUCUCACUCGCUGUUCCUUUUUCCUAUGCAUAUACCUCUUUGAGAUGUCGCUUUAAAGAGGCAUAGGGCAUGGGAAAAGGGGGCUGUUGAGGUAUUCCACUGGAAUCCAACCAACCAACAGACGAAGGCCACCGCUUUGUGUCUCUGCCUGAAUGGAGCCAUUGCUUCACCAUUGUCUCCUGCUGCUUUACCGUCUUCAACCACAAUGGAUGUGUUUGUAGGUGUGGAUGAGCGUGGGAUAAGUGAGCGAGAGAGCGCUCAGAGGUCCUGAUGAGUUGUCUUCUACAUUCAGAACAUUGCAUCUUUACCUGUUGUCUUCAGAGACGGGAGGAGGGAUGGGACAAAAAGGAGACAAUGAUAAGUGAACUGGGCUCUGUAAAGUGCCUUGAGACUAUUUUCUUGUUCUGGCACUAUAUAAAUAAAAUGGAAUUGAAUUGUGUUGAAUUGAACAACAUGUUUUCCUGCUGGUUUUAAUUAAAAAAAACUAUUUAAAGAAA